rnacentral:rRNA from 1 species
GUACACUCCUGCGGGAGGCAGCAGUGGGGAAUUUUGGACAAUGGGCGAAAGCCUGAUCCAGCAAUGCCGCGUGAGUGAAGAAGGCCUUCGGGUUGUAAAGCUCUUUUGUCAGGGAAGAAACGGUGAGAGCUAAUAUCUCUUGCUAAUGACGGUACCUGAAGAAUAAGCACCGGCUAACUACGUGCCAGCAGCCGCGGUAAUACGUAGGGUGCAAGCGUUAAUCGGAAUUACUGGGCGUAAAGCGUGCGCAGGCGGUUUUGUAAGUCUGAUGUGAAAUCCCCGGGCUCAACCUGGGAAUUGCAUUGGAGACUGCAAGGCUAGAAUCUGGCAGAGGGGGGUAGAAUUCCACGUGUAGCAGUGAAAUGCGUAGAUAUGUGGAGGAACACCGAUGGCGAAGGCAGCCCCCUGGGUCAAGAUUGACGCUCAUGCACGAAAGCGUGGGGAGCAAACAGGAUUAGAUACCCCUGUAGUCCCAUGA